ensembl:snRNA U6 U6 spliceosomal RNA
GUGCUUGUUUCAGCAGCACAUACACUGAAACUGGAACACUACAGAGAAGAUCAGCAUGGUUCCUGGGCACACAAAUUUGUGAAACAUUCCAUAUUUUU